UGAAGCAGCCCCGCGAGGGUGAGCAAACCACAGAAACGGCGUCCCAGUUCGGAUUGCAGCCUGCAACUCGGCUGCAUGAAGCUGGAAUCGCUAGUAAUCGCGGAUCAGAAUGCCGCGGUGAAUACGUCCCCGGGUCUUGUACACACCGCCCGUCACACCAUGGGAGUCGGGAAUGCCCGAAGUCAAUGACCCAACCGAAAGGGGGGAGCUGCCGAAGGCAGGCCUGGUAACUGGGGUGAAGUCGUAACAAGGUAGC
rnacentral:rRNA from 1 species